rnacentral:rRNA from 1 species
GACAGAGGAUGCAAGCGUUAUCCGGAAUGAUUGGGCGUAAAGCGUCUGUAGGUGGCUUUUUAAGUCCGCCGUCAAUCCAGGCGUCAACCCUGGACAGGCGGUGGAAACUACCAAGCUGGAGUACGGUAGGGGCAGAGGGAAUUUCCGGUGGAGCGGUGAAAUGCGUAGAGAUCGGAAAGAACACCAACGGCGAAAGCACUCGUGCUGGGCCGACACUGACACUGAGAGACGAAAGCUAGGGGAGCGAAUGGG